rnacentral:rRNA from 1 species
GCGACCCCAGGUCAGGCGGGACUACCCGCUGAGUUUAAGCAUAUCAAUAGGCGGAGGAAA